CUGGCAGGGUCGGGGCAGGCACAGGUGCGGCCGCCCCGACUGUUUGGCAGACACAAGUGAGUGGAGGGACACCCGCCGUCAUCCACAGCACAUGCAUUGGAUACUGUAACAACAUUAACAACAUUUAACACCAUAUUAUUUUAAUAACUACAUGGAUUCCAAGAGAUAUGGAUGACUCUUCUGGCAUGGGCAAGGCCUGUGACAAUAACAUAACAAGUACUGCACCUGGCUACCUUUACUUCUGAAGAAGAGGUUUUGCUGCAUCACAACAGCACUCACCUGGAGGACAAGACUCAGGCACUGCUGAUAUCCCAUACAACUUGCCGGAGCCCCCGGGAGGUGGGACUCGAGCAGGAGACUCAGCACCAGAAUAUCG